rnacentral:rRNA from 1 species
AGAUUAAGUUAUUAAGGGCGCACGGUGGAUGCCUUGGCACUAGAAGCCGAUGAAGGACGUUACUAACGACGAUAUGCUUUGGGGAGCUGUAAGUAAGCUUUGAUCCAGAGAUUUCCGAAUGGGGAAACCCAGCAUGAGUUAUGUCAUGUUAUCGAUAUGUGAAUACAUAGCAUAUCAGAAGGCACACCCGGAGAACUGAAACAUCUUAGUACCCGGAGGAAGAGAAAGAAAAUUCGAUUCCCUUAGUAGCGGCGAGCGAAACGGGAAGAGCCCAAACCAACAAGCUUGCUUGUUGGGGUUGUAGGACACUCUAUACGGAGUUACAAAGGACGACAUUAGACGAAUCAUCUGGAAAGAUGAAUCAAAGAAGGUAAUAAUCCUGUAGUCGAAAAUGUUGUCUCUCUUGAGUGGAUCCUGAGUACGGCGGAACACGAGAAAUUCCGUCGGAAUCUGGGAGGACCAUCUCCUAAGGCUAAAUACUCUCUAGUGACCGAUAGUGAACCAGUACCGUGAGGGAAAGGUGAAAAGCACCCCGGAAGGGGAGUGAAAUAGAACCUGAAACCGUGUGCUUACAAGUAGUCAGAGCCCGUUAAUGGGUGAUGGCGUGCCUUUUGUAGAAUGAACCGGCGAGUUACGAUUUGAUGCAAGGUUAAGCAGUAAAUGUGGAGCCGUAGCGAAAGCGAGUCUGAAUAGGGCGUUUAGUAUUUGGUCGUAGACCCGAAACCAGGUGAUCUACCCUUGGUCAGGUUGAAGUUCAGGUAACACUGAAUGGAGGACCGAACCGACUUACGUUGAAAAGUGAGCGGAUGAACUGAGGGUAGCGGAGAAAUUCCAAUCGAACCUGG